UAGGAAGCCGAAAGGUGACCGACCCUUCGGGGAGCUUGCACAGGUGCUGCAUGGCUGUCGUCAGCUCGUGUCGUGAGAUGUUCGGUUAAGUCCGCUAACGAGCGCAACCCUCGCUGUGUGUUAUAUGUGUCACACGGGACUGCCGGUCUUAAGCCGGAGGAAGGUGGGGAUGAUGUCAAGUCAGCAUGGCCUUUAUAUCCUGGGCUACACACACGCUACAAUGGCCAACACAAUAGGUUGCUAAGCCGCGAGGUGGCGCCAAUCCAUAAAGUUGGUCUCAGUUCAGAUUGUAGGCUGCAACCCGCCUACAUGAAGAUGGAGUUGCUAGUAACCGCAGGUCAGCUAUACUGCGGUGAAUACGUUCCCGGGGCUU
rnacentral:rRNA from 1 species